AGCGGUCACACCCUUAAUAUUAAAGAAGGUUGGCUGUACGACAAUGUUAUGCGACGACCAAACUCGCCCGCUCUUCUACUUCUCCUCUCUCUCUCUCUCUCUCUCUCGGUGCAGACUCGACAGACAUGAAUCAAGAAGUGGAGAAAUCCUUGACUCAGCCAGAGAGUGCUAAUGGGUCUAACUCAAACAGUUCGGACCCUGUAACUCGUGUAAGGAAUCUGCUGUUUCGUCGAAUGCUGGUGGGAAUUAGAGAUGGACGGUUUUUCUUGGGCACCUUCCACUGCAUUGACAAGCAAGGAAACAUCAUUCUCCAAGAUGCUGUGGAGUAUCGUAGCACCCAACGCUCCUCCCCUUCUCCCAUGGAACAGCGGUGCCUCGGUCUUAUUCUCAUACCUUCCUCUUGCCGUUCCUCAUGUCACGGGGAUUGUUCUAUUGAAGAGCAAUUGUCAUUGCUAAAAUUUUAGGAAUUGAGAGCAGUUCCAAAUUUCAUAAGUUAUUUUCCCGAAUCAAUGUAGAAGAAAUGAGAUGUUACCCCUACGAUUUUUGCGUGAAAUGAUAUGAUGAAUGACAGAAACGGACAUGAUUUUCCAGGCAUUCUAGGUUCGUAUGCAUACACUGCUACGCAAUAUUUGUUUCUUUAUCUAUUAUGUUUCCAUGUGGUCAUGAGCAUACAAGUGUUUUAGAAUGUGUACCUUGAAGUUGAACUAUGGUGAAGGUUGUGAAUUUGACCUUUGAAAGGAAAGGUGAAGCAGAAACUAGAAGGGCUCUUUGAAACAAAAAGAAAAAAUGUACUUUG